CUCUCACGUCUCUCUCUUUCUUCCCCCAUCCCACCAAGCUCCAUGUCUUCUGUCCCUCUCUUUCUCUCUCUCGUCCCCAAAGUUCUCUCUCUGUCUCCCCCAUUUUUGCUCCCCCCUGUACCACCAAGCUCUCAGCGUGGAAACCUAAUGUAGAAAGUGGAAAGGCGAGGGAUAGAAGAGAAUCAACCCUAAUCUCUAACCAAAAUCGGAAUGGAAUGAAAUGAAAGUUAUCAAAGUUUCCAUGUUUCUUGUUGGAUUAGCUUGAGGCUUGGGGGUUGGAUCGACAAUGAAUAUGGGCUUGAGGCUGGGGGGUUGGAUCAACAAUGAAUAUGGGCUUGAGGUUUUGGUAUGGGUCUGGCAUAUGUUGUUGCCUUUUCAAGAAUUGUUUUUGCAAAUAUAUGAUAUAAAUUGCUGGAAAUAAAGAAAUUUGAUGAAAGUCUUAUAGGCUGCUGCUCUGAUCUUGAUGUGCUUGAGGCUUCGGUAUCGAUAUGCCAUAUGUUGUUGCCUUUGUUAUAUUACCAAGCCUUGGGUUUUACGCAUGUCACAGUCAUUUGGAACUUUAGCUAGCAAGGAAUUUGAGGCAAUAGUUCAAUGCCCAAAUAUUACUGGUGCUUACUACAGGGAAAGUUAUAAGUUAUUGAAUGUAAUAUGUAAUGUAGCUGAUUGUAUUUUUCCUUGAUAAAAUGAUCACAGUCUUUUUUUUUUUUUCAAGAAUUGUUUUUACGAAUAUAUGACAGAAAUUAUAGGAAAUAAAGAAAAUUGAUGAAAGUCUCA